GGAUUAGAUACCCUGGUAGUCCUGGCCGUAAACGAUGAACACUAGGUGUCGGGGGAAUCGACCCCCUCGGUGUCGUAGCCAACGCGUUAAGUGUUCCGCCUGGGGAGUACGCACGCAAGUGUGAAACUCAAAGGAAUUGACGGGGGCCCGCACAAGCGGUGGAGUAUGUGGUUUAAUUCGAUGCAACGCGAAGAACCUUACCAGGGUUUGACAUCCUGCGAAUCUCUUGGAAACAGGAGAGUGCCUUCGGGAACGCAGUGACAGGUGGUGCAUGGCUGUCGUCAGCUCGUGCCG
rnacentral:rRNA from 1 species